rnacentral:rRNA from 1 species
UACGGGGGGGGUAAGCGUUGUUCGGAAUUACUGGGCGUAAAGGGCUCGUAGGGGGCCAACUAAGUCAGACGUGAAAUCCCUCGGCUUAACCGGGGAACUGCGUCUGAUACUGGAUGGCUUGAGGUUGGGAGAGGGACGCGGAAUUCCAGGUGUAGCGGUGAAAUGCGUAGAUAUCUGGAGGAACACCGGUGGCGAAGGCGGCGUCCUGGACCAAUUCUGACACUGAGGAGCGAAAGCCAGGGGAGCAAACGGG